rnacentral:rRNA from 1 species
AUGAGCGAGAGCGAGGGCAGCUCGACGACCUCCGUGAUGGAUGACGAGGACCUCCUGUGGGAGAUCCUCCUCCGCCUCCCGCCACAACCGUCUUCCCUCCCGCGCGCCUCCGCGGUCUGCAAGCGAUGGCGGCGCAUGGCCAUAGACCCCAGCUUCCUCCGCAGCUUCUACGCACACCACCGGAAACCGCCCCUCCUAGGCUUCUUCGAGUACCAACGUGACAAUAUUGUCUUCACCUCCAUCCUUGAUGCUCCCGAUCGCAUCCCUCAUGAGCGUUUUAACAUCGGACGCUGUAUCACCUCCUCAGAGGGCUAUGUACUUGGCUGCCGCCAUGGUCGCGUCCUCGUGAUUGAUCAUGUGUGUACAGAGCUCAUUGUGUGCACCCCUAUCACUGGCGAGCAGCGCCGCUUGGCCGUUCCUCCCGAGUUUAAAACAGUCCUCCGUACUUCCAUCAACGGGGCGGUUCUCUGCACUGCCAACGACCAGGGCCAUGUGCACGGCGGCUGUCACUCCAGCCCCUUUAAGGUGGUCUUGGUGAUCAUGUAUAGAGACAAUCAGCAAUCCCUCGCAUGUGUCUACUCCUCGCAGACCAAUGCAUGGGGCAACCUCAUCUCAACAGCUGCCCCAUGUCGGCUUUUUAUUGCUCAUAGACCUGGGUCACUUAUUGGUAAUGCAUUCUACUGGUUGACUACGAGGAAUGACAUGCUUGUGUUUGAUUUGGUGGAGCAAAGUCUAGCUGUGCUCAGUGGGCCACCGGUUAAAAAUUGUUUCCUCCAUAGUCAGAUCAUCCAAGUUGAGGAUGGCGUUGUUGGCUUUGUCGUAUUAUCUUAUCCGCACUUUCAAAUAUGGCAGAGGAAAAUCAAUGAUCAUGGUGUUGCCACAUGGAUGGAGUGGAAGACCAUUGAAAUGCAUAAUAUUCUUGCGCUCCCUCCUCAGAUUGUCAGAGGCGCGGAAACCAUACUAGGAUAUUCAGAGGAUGCUGAUGUGUUUUUUAUAUAUGUGGAUGUCAAGUUCUAUAUGGUUCAAUUUAGGUCAAUGCAAUCCAAGAUAAUUCAUGAAGCAUAUUAUAUCACUGACUACCAUCCUUUCACAGGGUUUUAUUCACCAGGUAACUUUUCAUACUCAAUAUUUCUAUUGUAG